UACGUAGGGUGCAAGCGUUGUCCGGAAUUAUUGGGCGUAAAGAGCUCGUAGGCGGCUUGUCGCGUCGGCUGUGAAAACCUGGGGCUCAACCCCGGGCCUGCAUUCGAUACGGGCAGGCUAGAGUUCGGUAGGGGAGACUGGAAUUCCUGGUGUAGCGGUGAAAUGCGCAGAUAUCAGGAGGAACACCGGUGGCGAAGGCGGGUCUCUGGGCCGAUACUGACGCUGAGACACGAAAGCCAGGGGAGCGAACGGG
rnacentral:rRNA from 1 species